rnacentral:rRNA from 1 species
UUACAAUGGAGAGUUUGAUCCUGGCUCAGGAUGAACGCUAGCGGCAGGCCUAAUACAUGCAAGUCGAACGGUAGAUUACUUUCGGGUAAUUGAGAGUGGCGAACGGGUGCGUAACGCGUAUGCAACCUACCCUAUACAGGGGGAUAGCCCGGAGAAAUCUGGAUUAAUACCCCAUGGUAUCAUUUGACUGCAUGGUUAAAUGAUUAAAGAUUCAUCGGUAUAGGAUGGGCAUGCGUCUGAUUAGCUAGUUGGCGGUGUAACAGACCACCAAGGCUACGAUCAGUAGGGGUUCUGAGAGGAAGGUCCCCCACACUGGCACUGAGAUACGGGCCAGACUCCUACGGGAGGCAGCAGUAGGGAAUAUUGGGCAAUGGACGAGAGUCUGACCCAGCCAUGCCGCGUGCAGGAAGACGGCGUUCUGCGUUGUAAACUGCUUUUAUCUGGGAAGAAAAUGCCCCUGCGGGGGAAAUUGCCGGUACCAGAUGAAUAAGCACCGGCUAACUCCGUGCCAGCAGCCGCGGUAAUACGGAGGGUGCAAGCGUUGUCCGGAUUUAUU